UUAAGUUCAGCGGGUAGUCCUACCUGAUUUGAGGUCAAAAUGUCAGAGAUUGUCCGAAGACGGUUAUAAGCAGGUUCCCAUUAGUUUGCUUCAAAGUCUCAAGGCAUAGAUAAUUAUCACACCAAGUGACGGUCCACAAGAGAUCCCACUAAUGCAUUCAAAGGGAGCAGACCAUCCACUGAAGGAAGCCAGCAAAGCCC
rnacentral:misc_RNA from 1 species